ACUUUGACCAGCAUAGUUCAACAGAUUGAAUCAUGAAAGAAAUAAUAUUUGUCUGGUGU
rnacentral:snoRNA from 1 species